GAACUGCUUCUGCAAUAAGUAAAGUCAAUGAAGAAAGCAAGAGGACUGCAAAGGUUUCCCUGCUGAUUCUGCCAACAGAAAUGUUUUUAUUGUGCUGCUUUGGACUGUCAUUCAUCAAGCUUAGCAACCAGAGAGAAAAGAAGGCUCUUUACCGUCAGCUAAGCCUGAAAAAUACUUGGAAAGGACUUUGCUUCCCUGGGCUUGGGUCACGGACAAGGUGAAAAGUAGGAUGGGGACGCAUGCCAGGUGGACUAAAAGAACAACUACUAUAAGCUGCUAUCAGCCAAGGAAAGGCACAGAAAUACAGAGUUCCACCCUCACGCAACCCACAGGGGCAGCUCUAUGAAGAGGAGUUUUGGACAAUUAAAGGCAUUUAAUUAGCCACUGGGUGACAUGUAUAGAAGGAUUCAUGUUUUGAAUUGGAAGUUUUUAAAUUUUUAGGCAAUACCAAGAUGUUUACUUCCACAAACGUCUCUUAUUUUUUUGCAUAAUUAAUUACAAAGAAUUGGAGUUGCAAGUGUAAAAAAAUGAAAUAAUCACCACUUUAAGAACUAUGCUGCAUCCCAAGGGACCUAAGGAUUGCUACGAAAGUAUUCAAAUUGGCCCAAUUAAGCUACAUAAUGAAUUUAGACAGUGCUCUCGAAGGCCACUUUGUGUUCUGUUUUUCUGUGAUUCCAGAAAACCAAUCAUGGCAAAGGUCUCAAGGGGUCAACCUGGUUCAUAUGUCUACAGGGGCAUGGCAUCUGCUGAUUGGCUUCUGCCUGAACUGCUGAACCAAUCAGUAAAAGGAACAAUGAGUUUACAGAAUUGGCUUAAGGACUGAAGUCAGCUCCUCAUCGUACAGGAUGAGAGACUGGUAAAGAAUGGGAUGGAAUGGUCUAGGAAGCCAACCACAAUGUCUACACCCUAAUUAGUGAAGCUUCUGUGAUAGAGGUAGGAGUGGAGGGCACAGAACGCCGGCCUCCCCAACCCCCCCACCACACACCCCUACCUUAUAUUUCUCUUUUCCCUUCAAACAUUACUUUAUACUUUUGGGGAACUUGUGGAAUUCUAAUUUGAAAGCCACUGUCAGAGCAAGGACAGCAUUGACCCAAGAAAUCACGUGGGUGUGAAGACUGAGUAACUCAGUCUUCUCCAAUGGCUUAGAAAUUCUGAGCUUACCUCAAAGGCUUAGUUAUCAGAAGCUCCUUCCCUUUUAGUCAGUCAUAUAAACUCUUUCUCAACUGCACAGGGAAAAUUAACCCAGAAUAAUUGGAAGAAGAUUGGAAGACUAGAAGUUCAACCAAAAACAAGUUCCAACCAAAAACAAGCAAACAAACAAAAACAACUCUGAAUCCCCUGAAUAAUCAUUUCUUUCUUUUUUUUUUUUAAAGGCACAUAAUAAUCCAAAAUAUGACCAGGCACAGUGGCUCAUGCCUGUAAUUCCAGCACUUUGGGAAGACAGAUCUGACUGAGGCAGACAGAUCACCUGAGGUGAGGAGUUCGAGACCAGCCUGGCCAACAUAGUGAAACCCCAUCUCUACUAAAAAUACAAAAAUUAGCUGGGCAUGGUGGUACAUGCCUGUAAUGCCAGCUACUCAGGAGGCUGGGGCACGAGAAUCCCUUGAACCUGGGAGGUGGUUACAGUGAGCUGACAUCGUGCCACUGUACUCCAGCCUGGGCAACAGAGUAAGACUCCAUCUCAAAAAACAGAACAAACAAACAAACAAAAAACAAUAAUAAUAAUCCAAAAUAAAAUCUUACGUACAUCCAAGAAUAUUCUACCUUUAUCUGCAGUGGGAAGAUUUUUAGUUUGGUAUUUUAAAAUAUUUAAAUUUGUCAAAGGGAUUAAAGAAGAAAAACCUAUUUUGGGGUGAAUUCUGGUAUACUUUUUUUUAAAAAGUAGUUUUAUUUCUUUGAAAUCAUGGUUUUAAGCACAGUCAUGGUUCUCAGCAUCUGAACACACAUGUAUGGGUGGCUGCAGUGAGCACCAACUAAACCCAACAAGAAUCAUCAAACCCAUCCCAGGAAAUUGUGAACUAAGUAUUGAUCUUGCCCUGGUGAGAUUCACAACAGGGACUAUACUUUUUGGUAAGUUCCACCUAAUCAAAACAUUGAAAAUGGUUAGGUUUGGCCAUUUCCCUAGCAAAAUGGAUUUACUUUAUGAAGAUUCUUUUUCCUUUACUUCUUGAGAAAUUGCUCAGGAGUUGUUUUGGUUGGCUAUUAGGAUGAAUUUAAGAACUUACUGUCUAUUUUAAUGCCAUGAUUUAAUGCUGUUAUUUUCCUGCCUAUAUAUCCUAUUUGUAGGACCCUACAAUAGUAUUUGCCCUAGACGACCCAUUAUGAGAAUGUAUACAAAUAAGCCAAUGGUACUGCAGACCAUCCCUCUUAGCUCUGAAAUGCAUUCCAUGCCCUUAUCCCUGCCCCACUGGGGGUUGAACCUACAUCAACCUUUUCCAGGCUUUCUUACCAGCUUGCUUCCAGGUAACAAGGAGAGGCUCUAGUGGGAGACUGGCACCAGAGGGAAGGAGGCAUUAGAUGAUUUCCCUAUUUCUUUCUGCCUAGCAAAGUCUCUGCUAUGUCUCAUCAGUGGUUUUAACUCCCACUAUCCUAUUCUUUUCUUCAAAUUGCCAGCUCCCACCAGGCAGGCUUACCACAGUUCCAGCUUCUACCAACUGAGCUGUUUGGAGGCCAGUUCUAAUGUACUUGGUUGAAUCAUUAGUUUGAUUUCCUUGAAAUCAUGUUUCAUAACUCUACUUGCACAUCUCAGCUGCAACAUCCCAAUGCACAGGUAUUGGCAGCUGCAGUCAUCACUGAGGCCCCUGUAACACCACCUCUUCUCACUGUCCCUAUAGCCCUAAAACUGGUAGUCAUUUUCUGCAAUUGUUACUCACCUUCCCUGUUUGCUCUCUCAGCUCUUUUCAUAUCUUCAAAAACAUUUCCCACCAUUACAUUUUUUUUUCUGUUGAAUUAUCUGGUAUAGGUUUUGUUUUCUUAGUUGGAACCUACCUAAUACUGUAGGGAAUUGCUAGGUUUUUUUUUUUUUUUUUUUUUGAUAGAAAGUUCCUUUGCUGUUCCCAUCAUGCAACAACCACAUAGACCUACAAAUGAUGAUCACAUUCUUUGUAAAAAGAAUUUAUCUGCUAAAAUCCUUCUAUUUUCUGUUUCUUUUAUAAGAAAUUUAAAUUUUCCAUGUACAGAUUAUGUAUUUUGCAUAGAUUCUUGUCCACAUGUUUGCGCACUGAGAAAGUUCUUAAGGAAUUGAAGCCCUAAGUGUAUCAAAUAAGCAUAGAGCAUAUCAAUAUGGCAGAAACCAUGGUACAUUGUGUUCCUCGUGUCUUUUUAGUUUAGUCUCUGCACUAAUAUCUUUCAGAUUUCCUGUUAAGUAGUUUAUAUGCAUUUCAAUCUCAAUCAUGCCAGAACAAUCUUUUGAAUCCAAUUUAAAGUUGAUAAAAUUGAAUAAAGAAACUGUUUUCAAAAUUGGCAGAUAGCUCCCAUUUAAAAUACAAGCACACAUUAAACAGUACACACACCUUGUAGUUUGGGACAAAAUGCUGGUUGAACUAAAGGGGAGCUGGAAGUUAGUGCUGGUUGAGUGAACCUAAAGCUUUGGUUGAAAAUCCCCAGAGGGGUCUCAAGUCAAAUUAUGCAGAAGCACAAGCAGACAUCCCUGGUGGGGCCUGGAUCACUCUGGGGUCAGCCAUCUUGAACACAAAAGUGGGGAUGCUGAGUGCUUGUCGGUAUUAAUUAUUGC
rnacentral:lncRNA from 10 species